GCUGGGCGUGGUGGCUCACGCCUGUAAUCCCAGCACUUUGGGAGGCCGAGGCAGGUGGAUCACCUGAGGUCAGGAGUUCAAGACCAGCCUGGCCAACAUGGUGAAAACCCGUCUCUA
ensembl:misc_RNA Metazoa_SRP Metazoan signal recognition particle RNA